AGAGUUUGAUCAUGGCUCAGGACGAACGCUGGCGGCGCGCCUAACACAUGCAAGUCGAACGGAGCGCAGCGGAAGAAUUCCUUCGGGGAGGAUUUUGCUGUUGCUUAGUGGCGAACGGGUGAGUAACACGUGAGCAACCUACCCUCUAGCGGGGGACAACAUUUGGAAACAGAUGCUAAUACCGCAUAAGACCACAGAGCCGCAUGGCUCGGUGGCCAAAGGAGCAAUUCACUAGAGGAUGGGCUCGCGUCCGAUUAGGUAGAUGGUGAGGUAACGGCCCACCAUGCCGACGAUCGGUAGCCGGACUGAGAGGUUGAUCGGCCACAUUGGGACUGAGACACGGCCCAGACUCCUACGGGAGGCAGCAGUGGGGAAUAUUGCACAAUGGGGGAAACCCUGAUGCAGCGACGCCGCGUGGAGGAAGAAGGUUUUCGGAUUGUAAACUCCUGUCUUAGGGGACGAAGAAGUGACGGUACCCUAGGAGGAAGCCACGGCUAACUACGUGCCAGCAGCCGCGGUAAAACGUAGGUGGCAAGCGUUGUCCGGAAUUACUGGGUGUAAAGGGAGCGCAGGCGGGCUGACAAGUUGGACGUGAAAUCUAUGGGCUCAACCCAUAGCGUGCGUUCAAAACUGUUGGUCUUGAGUGAUGGAGAGGCAGGCGGAAUUCCCGGUGUAGCGGUGGAAUGCGUAGAUAUCGGGAGGAACACCAGUGGCGAAGGCGGCCUGCUGGACAUUAACUGACGCUGAGGCUCGAAAGUGUGGGGAGCAAACAGGAUUAGAUACCCUGGUAGUCCACACCGUAAACGAUGAUUACUAGGUGUAGGGGGAUAGACCCCCUCUGUGCCGCAGCUAACGCAAUAAGUAAUCCACCUGGGGAGUACGGUCGCAAGACUGAAACUCAAAGGAAUUGACGG
rnacentral:rRNA from 1 species